UACGGAGGGUGCAAGCGUUAUCCGGAUUCACUGGGUUUAAAGGGUGCGUAGGCGGGCAGCUAAGUCAGUGGUGAAAUACCUGAGCUUAACUUGGGAACUGCCAUUGAUACUAUUUGUCUUGAAUGUCGUGGAGGUUAGCGGAAUAUGUCAUGUAGCGGUGAAAUGCUUAGAGAUGACAUAGAACACCUAUUGCGAAGGCAGCUAACUACGCGAAUAUUGACGCUGAGGCACGAAAGCGUGGGGAUCAAACAGG
rnacentral:rRNA from 1 species